rnacentral:rRNA from 1 species
UACGAAGGAGGCUAGCGUUGCUCGGAAUCACUGGGCGUUAAGGGCGCGUAGGCGGCGUUUUAAGUCGGAGGUGAAAGCCCAGGGCUCAACCCUGGAAUUGCCUUUGAUACUGGCUGUCUUGAGUACGGGAGAGGUGUGUGGAACUCCGAGUGUAGAGGUGAAAUUCGUAGAUAUUCGGAAGAACACCAGUGGCGAAGGCGACACACUGGCCCGUUACUGACGCUGAGGCGCGAAAGCGUGGGGAGCAAACAGG